rnacentral:rRNA from 1 species
UACGGAGGGGGCCAGCGUUGCUCGGAAUUAUUGGGCGUAAAGGGCGCGUAGGCGGCUUGGUAAGUUUGAUGUGAAAUCCCAUGGCUCAACCAUGGAACUGCAUCUCAUACUGCCGAGCUAGAGUCUGGGAGAGGGAAGCGGAAUUCCCGGUGUAGCGGUGGAAUGCGUAGAGAUCCGGAAGAACACCGGAGGCGAAGGCGGCUUGCUGGGCGUAGUCUGACGCUGAGGCGCGAAAGCGUGGGGAGCGAACAGG